rnacentral:rRNA from 1 species
GACGAACGCUGGCGGCGUGCCUAACACAUGCAAGUCGAACGAGGUCCAUCCUUCGGGAGAAGACCUAGUGGCGAACGGGUGAGUAACACGUGAGAAACCUGCCCCGAAGACCGGGAUAACUCUCCGAAAGGAGUGCUAAUACCGGAUACCCCCACCGAGCCGCAUGGUUUGGUGAGGAAAUGGAUUCCGCUUCGGGAGGGUCUCGCGGCCUAUCAGCUAGUUGGUGGGUAACGGCCCACCAAGGCAUCGACGGGUAGCUGGUCUGAGAGGACGAUCAGCCACACUGGGACUGAGACACGGCCCAGACUCCUACGGGAGGCAGCAGUGGGGAAUCUUGCGCAAUGGGCGAAAGCCUGACGCAGCAACGCCGCGUGGGGGAUGAAGGCUCUCGGGUUGUAAACCCCUUUCAGCAGGGACGAACUAAGACGGUACCUGCAGAAGAAGCUCCGGCUAACUACGUGCCAGCCGCCGCAGUAAAAC